UACGUAGGGUGCAAGCGUUAAUCGGAAUUACUGGGCGUAAAGCGUGCGCAGGCGGUUUUGUAAGUCUGACGUGAAAUCCCCGGGCUUAACCUGGGAAUUGCGGUGGAGACUGCAAGGCUAGAAUCUGGCAGAGGGGGGUAGAAUUCCACGUGUAGCAGUGAAAUGCGUAGAGAUGUGGAGGAACACCGAUGGCGAAGGCAGCCCCCUGGGUCAAGAUUGACGCUCAUGCACGAAAGCGUGGGGAGCAAACAGG
rnacentral:rRNA from 1 species